CCGCUUCAACAUGGAGAUUGGAUAAAGCUCAUCACCUACUAGAGUUCCACCCUAACUCGAUUGAUAUCUUCCACGAACAUGAGCUUGAUCUUCAUUAGACGGCAACGGUAAACGGCAUUGACUUCAAUCUGAAGGGGAUGAAUAUUAGGAGGAGCCGAAAUUAGAGAGGUGAAGCAGUGGAGGUUGCAGCUGAUAAUGUGAAGUUCCAUCAGUUGCAUUGUUAUUAUUUGAGGAUUUGCAAUUGUGAAGGUAUUUCAGAGCACAGAUGAGAGCUGGGAUGCUGUCUUGUGAUUGGGGAAGUAAUAAAAAUUUAGGAAAAUGUAGGAGGAUAGCUCAAUUUGUUGGACAUUAGACUCCUACAUUGGUGCAAUAGUGGCAACAGCCACUGGAGUAGGCAUGUUGAUUAGCCUCCCCCUCCAAGGUUUCCUCAAUGCUAUAGCCACGUGUAUCUACUGCCAAUUCAUCCACUCCAUUGAUCUUGGAAAGUCCAGUAUUUGUCUCUGCGAGUAAUGAAGGAGGAAAUGAAGCUAUUACAAUGUCAAUAGGCAAUUCUUCUCCUCUUGGGCUCUAUUGCCUGGCAUUCACAUACCAAACAACUGCAAGAAUGACUAUGGGUAUCAUCUUUAGAGCAUCCAUUCUCAUGGGAUUGCUUUGUUAUGGUUUGCUUUCUGGUCCAGCAAUUGUCAUGUCCAAUGUAACAAAUGAGACAUGGCUGAUAUACCAGGGUCGAUGCACAACAAUUCCAGAGUGUAUUGCAAUUUGCAAGAAAGAAAAAUACGCUGAUGGAGGCGUUUGCAAAAAGCCUUCUAGUGAUUCACCCUACGUUAAUUGCU